rnacentral:rRNA from 1 species
GAUGAACGCUGGCGGCGUGCCUAAUACAUGCAAGUCGAGCGGACGGACGAGAAGCUUGCUUCUCUGAUGUUAGCGGCGGACGGGUGAGUAACACGUGGAUAACCUACCUAUCAGACUGGGAUAACUUCGGGAAACCGGAGCUAAUACCGGAUAAUAUUUUGAACCGCAUGGGUCAAAAGUGAAAGACGGUCUUGCUGUCACUUCUAGAUGGAUUCGCGCUGCAUUAGCUAGUUGGGAAGUUAACGGCUUACCAAGGCAAGGAGGCAUAGCCGACCUGAGAGGGGGGUCGGCCACACUGGAACUGAGACACGGUCCAGACUCCUACGGGAGGCAGCAGUAGGGAAUCUGCCGCAAUGGUCGAAAGCCUGACGGAGCAACGGGGAGUGAGAGACGAAAGUGUUCGGAUCGUAAAAAUCUGCUACUAGUGAAGAACAUAUGUGUAAGUAACUGUGCACAGCGUGACGGUACCUAAUCAGAAAGCCACGGCUAACUACGUG